rnacentral:rRNA from 1 species
AUUGAACGCUGGCGGCAGGCCUAACACAUGCAAGUCGAGCGAGCGGCGGACGGGUGUGUAAUGUAUGGGGACUGCCCGAUAGAGGGGGAUAAAUUCUGGAAACGGUAGCUAAUACCGCAACCUAUCGGAAAACCCAUAUUGGAAUAGCUAGUAGGUGAGGUAAUGGCUCAACUAGGCGGCGAUCCAUAGCUGGUCUGAGAGGAUGAUCGACAACACUGGUACUGGGACACGGCCCAUAAUCCAAGGGAGGCAGCAGUGGGGAAUAUUGCACAAGUGGCGCAAGCCUGAAGCAGCCAUGCCGCGUGUAUGAAGAAGGCCCUAGGGUUGUAAAGUACUUUCAGUCGGGAAGCGUUACCGACAGAAGAAGCACCGGCUAACUCCGUGCCAGCAGCCGCGGUAAUAC